AUGUACCCACUGAGAGCAAAUGUAUUGUCCUGUUUCCCUGCUUCUAGACAACUCUUAGUAGAGCUGUUCCCCAGGCCGGGCUACUUUGCAGAGGAGAGCUCAGGCCCAGGAGCUGUAAAGCCCAUGUUACCUGUGUUGGCGGGAUCAAGGGCAGCACAAAGACGUGGUCCUCUGGCAAUGCCUGAGAACCAAGGUCGAUGGUGGUGACGAAGCAGCGAUCUUGUGACCAAAAGACCACAAGACAAGAGAAAAGGCAUGGGACAAAUAAGCUCCUCAAACAGCGCCAAUGAGAAGAUGAGCUCCAGCCACUGACUGAGUUUUCUGUUAAAGUAGAACAAAACAUAACCGAGUGUAAUUU
rnacentral:lncRNA from 9 species